rnacentral:rRNA from 1 species
UACGGGGGGGGGCAAGCGUUGUUCGGAAUUACUGGGCGUAAAGGGCUCGUAGGCGGCCAACUAAGUCAGACGUGAAAUCCCUCGGCUUAACCGGGGAACUGCGUCUGAUACUGGAUGGCUUGAGUUUGGGAGAGGGAUGCGGAAUUCCAGGUGUAGCGGUGAAAUGCGUAGAUAUCUGGAGGAACCACCGGUGGCGAAGGCGGCAUCCUGGACCGACACCUGACGCUGAGGAGCGAAAGCCAGGGGAGCAAACGGGGAUUCAGAAACCCCCGGUAUCCAG